rnacentral:rRNA from 1 species
GACGAACGCUGGCGGCGUGCCUAAUACAUGCAAGUUGAGCGCUGAAGGUUGGUACUUGUACCGACUGGAUGAGCAGCGAACGGGUGAGUAACGCGUGGGUAAUCUGCCUUUGAGCGGGGGACAACAUUUGGAAACGAAUGCUAAUACCGCAUAAAAACUUUAAACACAAGUUUUAAGUUUGAAAGAUGCAAUUGCAUCACUCAAAGAUGAUCCCGCGUUGUAUUAGCUAGUUGGUGAGGUAAAGGCCCACCAAGGCGAUGAUACAUAGCCGACCUGAGAGGGUGAUCGGCCAAAUUGGGACUGAGACACGGCCCAAGCUCCUAAGGGGGGGAGCAGUAAGGGAACUUCGGCCAUGGACGAAAGUCUGAACGAGCAACGCCGCGUGAGUGGAGAAGGUUUUCGGGUCGGAAAACUCUGUUGGUAGAGAAGAAAGUUGGUGGGAGUGGAAAGCUCAUCAAGUGACGGUAACUAACCAGAAAGGGACGGCUAACUACGUG